rnacentral:pre_miRNA from 2 species
UGGAUGAGAGCCACUCUGGUUAGCCAAGAAGACCCACCCAUGCAACCACACAAACUGCAUCCAUCACAAGAACUUUGCCCAAAUUGAUGGUGAGAUGGAUCAGUUAGCAGAGGCAUUGCAUAGGCAAGUCAUUCUUGGCUACCAGAUGAAGGGAGGCUCUCCAUCU